rnacentral:rRNA from 1 species
AGGAUGAACGCUAGCGAGACGCCUAACACAUGCAAGUCGAAUGUCUUUAUGACAUGGCAAACGGGUGCGUAACACGUGCUUAACCUGCCCUUUGGCGGGGGAUACCUGUGGAAACACAACUAAUCCCCCAUAAGUUCUUCAAAAUGAGAAUAUGAAGAAGAAAGGUUUACCACCAAAGGAGGGGAGCGCGGUCUAUUAGCUAGUUGGUGAGGUAAUGGCUCACCAAGGCAAUGAUGGAUAGCUGGUCUGAGAGGAUGAUCAGCCACAAUGGAACUGAGACACGGUCCAUACCCCUACGGGGGGCAGCAGUGGGGAAUAUUGCACAAUGGACGAAAGUCUGAUGCAGCGAUCUCGCGUGGAGGAUGAAGCAUUACGGUGUGUAAACUCCUUUUCUGGAGGAAGACGACUGACGGUACUCCAGGAAUAAGGGACGGCUAACUACGUGCCAGCAGCCGCGGUAAUACGUAGGUCCCAAGCGUUAUCCGGAUUUACUGGGCGUAAAGCGUCCGUAGCCGGUUUUAUAAGUCUGAUUUCAAAUACCUGGGCUCAACCUAGGAAAGGGAUCAGAUACUGUAGAACUAGAGUAAGAUAGGGGGUAGUAGAAUUUCCAGUGGAGGGGUGAAAUCCGUUGAUAUUGGAAGGAAUACCAAAAGCGAAGGCAGCUACCUAUAUCUUUACUGACGGUCAGGGACGAAAGCAUGGGUAGCAAACGGGAUUAGAUACCCCGGUAGUCCAUGCUGUAAAUUAUGCUCGCUAGGUGUGUAGAGCCCUCGAGGUGCUAUGUGCCGUAAGCUAACGCUUAAGCGAGCCGCCUGAGUAGUAUAGUCGCAAGGCUGAAACUCAAAGGGAUAGGCGGGGGAACACACAAGCAGUGGAUUGCCUCGAUUAAUUUGAUAAUAAGCAACGAAUCUUACCUAGGCUUGACAUCUUUGGAAUUCUAUCGAAAGAAUGAAGUGCCAGUUUACUGGAGCCGAAUGACAGGUGCUGCAUGGCCGUCGUCAGCUCGUGCCGCAAGGUGUCCGGUUAAGUCCGGAAACGAGCGCAACCCUCGUCGUUAGUUAGGAUGUCUAACGAGACUGCCUCCGUAAGGAGGAGGAAGGAGAGGAUGAUGUCAGGUCACUAUGGCCCUUAUGCCUAGGGCGUCAGAGACAAUACAAUGGGUAGUACAACAGGUAGCCAAGCCGUGAGGCGGAGCCAAUCCUCUAAAACUAUCCUCAGUGCGGAUCGUAGUCUGGAACUCGACUACGUGAAGUUGGAAUUGCUAGUAAUGGUGGGUCAGCCAUACCGCCGUGAAUAUGUCCCUGUUCCUUGCACUCACCGCCCGUCAUACCAUGGAAGUUGAGGCUCUCUGAAGAUGUGCCAUGCAUGUUGAGGAGAGAAUUGAUGACUGGGGUAAAGUCGGAACAAGGUA